UACGGAGGGUGCAAGCGUUAUCCGGAUUCAUUGGGUUUAAAGGGUGCGUAGGUGGGUCUGUAAGUCAGUGGUGAAAUCUCCGGGCUUAACUCGGAAACUGCCAUUGAUACUAUAGGUCUUGAAUUAUCUGGAGGUGAGCGGAAUAUGUCAUGUAGCGGUGAAAUGCUUAGAUAUGACAUAGAACACCAAUUGCGAAGGCAGCUCACUACGGAUAUAUUGACACUGAGGCACGAAAGCGUGGGGAUCAAACAGG
rnacentral:rRNA from 1 species